rnacentral:rRNA from 1 species
AAGUCCCGCAACGAGCCGCAACCCUUAUCCCCAGUUGCCAUCAGGUAAAGCUGGGAACUCUGGGGAGACUGCCGGUGAUAAACCGGAGGAAGGCGGGGAUGACGUCAAGUCCUCAUGGCCCUUACAUCCCGGGCUACACACGUGCUACAAUGGCAGGUACAGAGGGCUGCGAAGCCGCGAGGUGGAGCGAAUCCCAGAAAACCUGUCUCAGUCCGGAUUGAAGUCUGCAACUCGACUUCAUGAAGGCGGAAUCGCUAGUAACCGCGAAUCAGCAGGUCCGCGGUCGAAUACGUUCCCGGGCCCUU